rnacentral:misc_RNA from 1 species
CCUACGUUGCCUCGGCGGCGUCCUGCCCGCCGGAGGACAAACUCAAAACUCCUGUUUUAACGGUGUUGUCUGAGCUACAAGCAACGAAUCAAAACUUUCAACAACGGAUCUCUUGGUUCUGGCAUCGAUGAAGAACGCAGCGAAAUGCGAUAAGUAGUGUGAAUUGCAGAAUUCAGUGAAUCAUCGAAUCUUUGAACGCACAUUGCGUCCCUUGGCAUCCCGAGGGGCAUGCCUGUUCGAGCGUCAUUUCACCACUCAAGCACGGCUUGGUGUUGGGCGACGUCCCUCCUUGGGGACGCGCCUCGAAACGCUCGGCGGCGUGGCACCGGCUUUAAGCGUAGCAGAAUCUUUCGCUUUGGAAGUCGGGGCCCCGUCUGCCGGAAGACCUACCA